AGUGGAUCCCUUCGGGGUGAAGCUCGUGGAACGAGCGGCGGACGGGUGAGUAACACGUGGGCAACCUGCCUGUAAGACCGGAAUAACCCCGGGAAACCGGGGCUAAUGCCGGGUAAUACUUUUCUUCGCAUGAAGGAAAGUUGAAAGAUGGCUUCUUGCUAUCACUUACAGAUGGGCCCGCGGCGCAUUAGCUAGUUGGUGAGGUAACGGCUCACCAAGGCGACGAUGCGUAGCCGACCUGAGAGGGUGAUCGGCCACACUGGGACUGAGACACGGCCCAGACUCCUACGGGAGGCAGCAGUAGGGAAUCUUCCGCAAUGGACGAAAGUCUGACGGAGCAACGCCGCGUGAACGAUGAAGGUCUUCGGAUCGUAAAGUUCUGUUGUUAGGGAAGAACAAGUACCGUGCGAAUAGAGCGGUACCUUGACGGUACCUAACGAGGAAGCCCCGGCUAACUACGUGCCAGCAGCCGCGGUAAUACGUAGGGGGCAAGCGUUGUCCGGAAUUAUUGGGCGUAAAGCGCGCGCAGGCGGUUCCUUAAGUCUGAUGUGAAAGCCCACGGCUCAACCGUGGAGGGUCAUUGGAAACUGGGGAACUUGAGGACAGAAGAGGAGAGUGGAAUUCCACGUGUAGCGGUGAAAUGCGUAGAUAUGUGGAGGAACACCAGUGGCGAAGGCGACUCUCUGGUCUGUUUCUGACGCUGAGGUGCGAAAGCGUGGGUAGCAAACAGGAUUAGAUACCCUGGUAGUCCACGCCGUAAACGAUGAGUGCUA
rnacentral:rRNA from 1 species